CCUACGGGACGCAGCAGUAGGGAAUCUUCCACAAUGGACGAAAGUCUGAUGGAGCAACGCCGCGUGAGUGAAGAAGGGUUUCGGCUCGUAAAGCUCUGUUGGUAGUGAAGAAAGAUAGAGGUAGUAACUGGCCUUUAUUUGACGGUAAUUACUUAGAAAGUCACGGCUAACUACGUGCCCGCAGCCGCGGUAAUAUGUAGGUGGCAAGCGUUGUCCGGAUUUAUUGGGCGUACAGGGAGCGUAAACGGCGGUGC
rnacentral:rRNA from 1 species